UCCUUUGAUGCAUAGACAUUUUUUAAGUUUGGUGUAGUGCCAUUUAUCUGUUUGCUUUUGUUGUUUGUGCUUUCAGUGUCAUUAUUGGAAAGAUCAUUGCCAAAUCCAAUGUUAAAAAGUUUUUCUUCUGUGUUUUCUUCUAGGAGUUUUAUAACUUAAAUUUUACAAGUAGGAAGUGCAAAAAAAUUUACAGCUGCCAUCUGUGUAAGAGGUGACUUGCUCCUCCUUAUCUUCUGCCAUAAUUGUGAAGCCUCUCCAGCCAUGUGGAACGGUAAGUCCACUGAACAUUUUUUUCUUUGCAGUCUCAGGUAUGUCUUUAUCAGCAGCAUGAAAAUGAACUAAUACACCCUCCUUAGGCACCCCACAUCAAACCCUGUCUUCUUUGUCCUUUUGUGCAGACUUCACAGAAAGAAGCAUGAUUAGCAACUGUUUAGAGAAGUGUGCUUUGGAGGGAGAGAAAAGUUUUAUUUUUUUUGAGACAGAAUCUCGUUGUGUUACCCAGGCUGGAGUGAAGUGGCAUGAUCGUGGCUCACUGCAGUCUCUUCCUCCCAGAUUUAAGCAAUUCUCCUGUGUCAGCAUCCCAAGGAGCUGAGAUUACAGAAGCUACUCAAAGCAUACGCCCGGGGGAAACAUUGAUCCUGUGCAAGACUGCCUUUUCCAGCUCAAACUUGCAAAGUGACAGCAACAUUGCACCGUAUAAAUGCAGCCAUUCUGUUACAAUGAUAAAUUCCAAGAUCUCCAGCCUGCAGAUUCAAGGAAAAGAUGGUUUGGAUGAGAUGUUCCUGGUGUAACCUCUGUGAAAUGAAGCUAUGAAGACUCUUGACCACCAGUGAGAGGUGAGGCUCACACAUUAGAGAGGAGAUCUGCACAGUUCUUUUGAUGAUGGUCUCGGCUUGAUAGUUUUUGUACUCUUGGCCAGUCUGUCUAGGAAAAAUUAUGUAUAAAAUAUUAUACUUAUGAAAUCUUAUUU
rnacentral:lncRNA from 13 species